GACGAACGCUGGCGGCGUGCUUAACACAUGCAAGUCGAACGGAAAGGCCCCUUUGGGGGUACUCGAGUGGCGAACGGGUGAGUAACACGUGAGUAACCUGCCCUUGACUUCGGGAUAACUUCAGGAAACUGGGGCUAAUACCGGAUAGGAAUCCUUGCUGCAUGGUGGGGGUUGGAAAGCUUCGGGGGUUUUGGAUGGACUCGCGGCUUAUCAGCUUGUUGGUGGGGUAGUGGCUUACCAAGGCUUUGACGGGUAGCCGGCCUGAGAGGGCGACCGGCCACCUUGGGACUGGGGUACGGCCCAGACUCCUACGGGGGGGAGCAGGGGGGAAUUUUGCACAAUGGGCGGGAGCCUGAUGCAGCAACGCCGCGGGCGGGAUGACGGCCUUCGGGUUGGAAACCGGCUUCAGCAGGGGCGAAGCUUGUGGUGACGGUACCUGGAGAAGAAGCACCGGCUAACUACGUG
rnacentral:rRNA from 1 species